CAUGGCUUUUUGAUUUUAAUUUAAAGUUUAWUCUGCCCACUGAAUAAUUUUAAAGGGCCGCAGUAUAUUAACUGUGCAAAGGUAGCAUAAUCAUUAGUUUUUUAAUUGAAAGCUUGUAUGAAUGAUUGAACGAAAUAUAAACUGUCUCAAAUAAAAUUUAAUAAAAUUUUAUUUUUUAGUUAAAAAGCUAAAAUAUAUUUAAAAGACGAGAAGACCCUAUAGAUCUUUAUAUUUAUUUUAUAUUAUUUUAAAAAGAAUAAAUUUAAAUUAUAUAAUAAAAUAAUAUUUUGUUGGGGUGACAUUGAAAUUUAAUAAACUUUCAAUUUUUAUAAAACAAAAAUUAUUGAUUUUUUGAUCCUUUAUUAUUGAUAAAAAGUUUAAGUUACCUUAGGGAUAACAGCGUAAUUAUUUUGGAGAGUUCAUAUCGAUAAAAUAGGUUGCGACCUCGAUGUUGGAUUAAGAUUAAUUUUAGGCGUAGCAGUUWAAAUUAUUAMGUCUKUUCGACUUUUAAUUUCU
rnacentral:rRNA from 1 species